ACUUAGUUCCAAAGUUGUUGAGAUCACCGGAUGAAAAAACAAUGAAGGUCAAUGGACUGAGGUGUCCACACUUCAGUCGGUACAGGCAGCUGAGUGGACAUCAAGAAAUGAAGAGGCACAAACUUUAGUGGCACCAGCACCAGAUCUCGUCAC